rnacentral:rRNA from 1 species
UACGAGGGGGGCAAGCGUUGUUCGGAUUUAUUGGGCGUAAAGGGUGCGUAGGCGGUUUGGCAAGUCUUGUGUGAAAUCUUCGGGCUCAACCCGAAGCCUGCAUAAGAAACUGCCGGGCUUGAGUAUGGGAGAGGUGAGUGGAAUUUCCGGUGUAGCGGUGAAAUGCGUAGAUAUCGGAAGGAACACCUGUGGCGAAAGCGGCUCACUGGACCAUAACUGACGCUGAGGCACGAAAGCUAGGG